CUCGCUUCUCGGCCUUUUGGCUAAGAUCAAGUGUAGUAUCUGUUCUUAUCAGUUUUUUUGGGGACAAUCUCCAUUCCAUCUUAAAGUAACCUUAUUUCUGUCUAGGAGAAAUAUUUGAGAUGUUAAAGAGAUCUCACUUUUGAUUUUUCUUUCCUAUGGGAGGCCUC
ensembl:snRNA U2 U2 spliceosomal RNA